rnacentral:rRNA from 1 species
GAUGAACGCUGGCGGCGUGCCUAAUACAUGCAAGUCGAGCGAACAGAUGAGGAGCUUGCUCCUCUGACGUUAGCGGCGGACGGGUGAGUAACACGUGGAUAACCUACCUAUAAGACUGGGAUAACUUCGGGAAACCGGAGCUAAUACCGGAUAAUAUAUUGAACCGCAUGGUUCAAUAGUGAAAGACGGUUUUGCUGUCACUUAUAGAUGGAUCCGCGCCGCAUUAGCUAGUUGGUAAGGUAACGGCUUACCAAGGCAACGAUGCGUAGCCGACCUGAGAGGGUGAUCGGCCACACGGGAACGGAGACACGGUCCAGACGCCUACGGGAGGCAGCAGUAGGGAAUCGUCCGCAAUGGGCGAAAGCCUGACGGAGCAACGCCGCGUGAGUGAUGAAGGUCUUCGGAUCGUAAAACUCUGUUAUGAGGGAAGAACAAAUGUGUAAGUAACUAUGCACGUCUUGACGGUACCUAAUCAGAAAGCCACGGCUAACUACGUG